ACAGAACUUUGUUAGAGCACAGAAUCCACGUUCAGUUUCAAAUUUCGUCUUGACUUUGAAAUAAAGCAAUGGUGUUAGAUAAAGAAAUGAAGGAAUGAUUUGACUAAGGUAAACCUUCUGUAUCCCCGGUUAGUAUCUCCUGUAGAAAUAGGUCAUAUCCUAAGCCUUGGACUUUGAAAUUUUCAUUCUUAGGUCUAUAAUGAACCAAAAUUCUUACUAAGACAAACACUUCUUGCUUAACUUUUGAUUAACUUGCACAUGCAAGGACAUGAAUUUAUAUUGAAGAGUGAUGUCAUAGCUGUAACAAAAGGGAUUAAAAAAAAAACUUAGGCAUUUAUGCCAGUCUUUUUCUUUUCUUUUCUUUUUAAACAGAGUCUCACUCUGUCGCCCAGGCUGGGGUGCAGUGGUGUGAUCUUGGCUCACUGUAACCUCCACCUCCCAGGUUCAAGUGAUUCUCCUGCCUCAGCCUCUUGAGUAGCUGGGACUACAGGUGUGUGCCACCACACCUGGCUAUUUUUUUAUUUUUAGUAGAGAUGAGGUUUCACCAUGUUGGCCAAGCUGGUCUCGAACUCCUGACCUCAGGUGAUAAUGCCCGCCUUGGCCUCCCAAAGUGCUGGGAUUACAGGCGUGAGCCACUGCGCCCAGCCUAUGCUAGUCUUUAGCUCAGAAUUUUAGCAGAGUAAAAGUGGGCUCUACUACCUUACUUAAUAGCUGUUACUCAGUCUCUUUCAGCCUUUGGAUUCACCUGUGUAAAGAGAGAUGAUAAAACUUUAUUCAUUUGUUGUGAAAACUAAAUUAAAAAGCAUAUUAAAUGUGGUAAUAUUUGUAAAAUGCCUAGGAGGUCAUCUAGCAUAUAGUUAUUGUUUGUUCCUAAGUCCCUCAACUCAUUCCUUCAUCUUUUCUUCUUUGGAAGACAAAGAGCAUAUUCUUCCCCUCAAUGUAAUCCAUUUCCUGAUGAAAGAUGAUGUAUUUGCUCUAUGAAGAUGAGUGAUAGGUAAUAACGGAUAGUGAUGGAGAAUGGCAAAUACCAAAGAGAUUAUGACCUGGGCAAGAUAUCUCAUUAAGCAAGGUUGCUUUCUGCAUUCACAUUUAUUACACACAAAAUGAGAUACAGCAGUUUUAUUUGCAUAGUAGAUGGAGAACAGAAUUUAUUUAUAAAGCUCUCGAUAAACUUCUUAAAUGAAGUAAGUGCUUGCAGCUAUAGUGUUGGCCUCACCAACACUAUGGGCCAUGAGCUGGAACAUAUGGAGAGAAUGGGAGAGAAAAAAAAAUCAGUUACAGUCUUAAAAGUGAGAUAACAAAAUAACAAUAUAUGGCAAUAUAGAAAAUAAUCAUAUGAAAAGUACUGGUGACAAGUGCUUGUAGGAUUUUAAGCAAAUAUAUAUAUUUUUGAUGAUAGUGUAUUUGUUCAGGUUCUGGCUGGAAACAACAUUCAUCUCAAAUUGUUCAAAUGAAGAGACAUUGAUGCAGUGGUUCUCAGUCUUGGCUGUACAUUGGAAAUGCUUGGGGAGCUUUGAAAAGUAUACAUGCCUGUGUUCUACCCUCAGAGGUUCUGCAUUAGUUGGUCUGGUUUGUGGCCUGGCUGUUGGGAUUUCUUAAAAGCUUCCCAGCUGAUUCUAAUAUGCAGCUUGAGUUGAGAAACCAGGCUCAACCUCUGAGUUGAAAAUGAAAGUACUGCUUUCAGAAGUAUGGGCAGUGCUGGGAAUUAAAGGAUGGUAAGACACAAGAGACUAGCUACACGGGGAAAUAAUACUACCCUUAUGAUCAAAGAACAAGAGACACUAGAUUGACCUAGUGAAAGCUGGACCAGAGGAGAAGGGGCUAUUUUACCUAAGCUAUAGUAUGAGAGGGGGGUAUGCUUCUAUUUCCUGACUCUCAGAGCUGAAGCAGGAUGUAUGAGGGUUCUCCAGAGAAAUAGACCUAAUAGAAUAUGUGUGUGCAUGUGUGUGCGUAUGUGUGUGCAUGUGUGUGCGUGUGCGUGUGUGUGUGUGUGUGUGAAUUUUUUAAGGAAUUUGCUCAUGCGAUGAUGGAGGCUGGCAAGUUCAAAAUCUGCAGAGUGGCCCGCAGGCUGGAGACCUAGGAAGAGCUGAUGCUGUAGUUCAUGCCUGAAAUGUGAAGGCAAUUUGUUGCCAGUAUUCCCUCCUGCUCUGGGGCAAGUCAGUCUUUUACUCUUCUCAGGCUUUAAAUUGAUUGGAUGAAACCCACUCAUAUUAUGGAGGACAAUCUGUUUCACUCAAAGUUCGGCAAUGUAAAUGUUAAAUCUCAUCUGAAAACAUCAUCAUAGGAGCAUCCAGAAUAAUUUUUGACCACAUAUCUGGGCAGUGCAGCCCAGCAAAGUUGACAUAUGAAAUUAAUUGUCACAUAAGGAGGGAGAGGAGAAGAAAUAGUCCAGCUUCUUUUUCUUCUCUCUCCCCUUCCUUUGGCCAGCUUCCCAGGACUGGCCAAAGGACUGGCCAGAACUGAAUGAAGAAUGAGUACAGGAUCUGAGGGGCAAACUGAAGAUGUCCUGCACAUACUUCUAACUCAUUUAUCACAGGCUUGAUUAUUAUUUUGAAAAUGCCUUUUCUAUUGUUAAAAUUCUCAUUUGGUUAGGUUGAGCAAUAUUAUGACAGACUCUUGAAUUUAUUUUUUAAAAUUAUGCUAAAGACUUAGUGGUUUCUAAAAUGAUUUUCUAAUGAUCUUUGCUGAGAUGGUUUCUCGUUAGACUAGAAUAACAUAACAAUGUUUGUGUCACCAAUGCAAAUGCAGUUUUUACUAACCAAUAAGAGCACUGCUAAAAUUUAUUUUCGGCU
rnacentral:lncRNA from 10 species